AACCACAGCCUUAUCCCCCUGCAGCCCAAAAUCUGAUACUGACUUAAGCUGAGCCUGGUCAGUACCUGGAUGGGAGACCACAUGGGAAAACUAGGUUGCUGUUGGCA
rnacentral:rRNA from 1 species